AUUCCCUUCAGGAUGUCUGAUAAAAUUGGAGCGAUACAGAGAAGAUAAGCAUGGCUCCAGAGCAAAGAUGACACGCAAAAGUUGAAAAUUAGUCCAUUCCACU